rnacentral:rRNA from 1 species
AUUGAACGCUGGCGGCAGGCCUAACACAUGCAAGUCGAGCGGAGCGGCGGACGGGAGAGAAAUGCCUAGGAAUCUGCCUGGUAGUGGGGGAUAACGUCCGGAAACGGGCGCUAAUACCGCAUACUAGCAGAUGAGCCUAGGUCGGAUUAGCUAGUUGGGGGGGUAAAGGCCUACCAAGGCGACGAGCCGUAACUGGUCUGAGAGGAUGAUCGGUCACACUGGAACUAAUACACGGUCCGGUCUCCUGCGGUGGUCAGCAGUGGGGAAGAUUGGACAAUGGGCGAAAGCCUGGUCCAGCCAUGCCGCGUGUUUGAAUAAGGUCUUCGGAUUGUAAAGCACUUUAAGUUGGGCGGCGUUACCAACAGAAUAAGCACCGGCUAACUUCGUGCCAGCAGCCGCGGUAAUUC